UACGUGAGCUACGAGCGUUGUCCGGAUUUACUGGGCGUAAAGAGAUGCGUAGGCGUCUUCUCAAGUCGGUUGUUAAAUCUUCCAGCUCAACUGGAAAGAAGCAAUCGAUACUGAGUUGAUUGAGGUAGGUAGGGGGAAAUGGAAUUCCUGGUGGAGCGGUUAAAUGCGUAGAUAUCAGGAGGAACACCAAUGGCGAAGGCAAUUUCCUGGACCUUACCUGACGCUAAGGCUCGAAAGCGUGGGGAGCAAA
rnacentral:rRNA from 1 species